rnacentral:rRNA from 1 species
CGCCUGGGGAGUGCGGCCGCAAGGUUAAAACUCAAAUGAAUUGACGGGGGCCCGCACAAGCGGUGGAGCAUGUUGUUUAAUUCGACGCAACGCGAAGAACCUUACCUGGCCUUGACAUGCAGAGAACUUUCCAGAGAUGGAUUGGUGCCUUCGGGAACUCUGACACAGGUGCUGCAUGGCCGUCGUCAGCUCGUGUCGUGAGAUGUUGGGUUAAGUCCCGUAACGAGCGCAACCCCUAUCCCUAGUUGCUAGCAGUUCGGCUGAGAACUCUAGGGAGACUGCCGGUGACAAACCGGAGGAAGGUGGGGAUGACGUCAGGUCAUCAUGGCCCUUACGGCCAGGGCUACACACGUGCUACAAUGGUGCGCACAGAGGGCUGCAAACCCGCGAGGGGGAGCCAAUCUCACAAAACGCAUCGUAGUCCGGAUCGCAGUCUGCAACUCGACUGCGUGAAGUCGGAAUCGCUAGUAAUCGUGAAUCAGAAUGUCACGGUGAAUACGUUCCCGGGCCUUGUACACACCGCCCGUCACACCAUGGGAGUGGAUUGCACCAGAAGUGGUUAGUCUAACCUUCGGGAGGACGAUCACCACGGUGUGGUUCAUGACUGGGGUGAAGUCGUAACAAGGUAACCGUA